GGCUCAGAUCUGAACUUGCCUUGAUCUGUCAAGACUCCUCAUUUUACUCCAAAAAUGAAGUCCUUGUCUCAGCUCCUGUGGCUGUUAAUGCUCUGGAUCCCUGGAUCCAGUGGAGAUGUUGUGCUGACCCAGUCUCCAAGUUCCCUGCCUGUCAUCCUGGGAGAAACAGUCUCCAUCUCCUGCAGGUCUAGUCAGAGCCUUUUGCACAGCAAUGGAAGGACCUAUCUGGAUUGGUACCUGAAGAAGCCAGGCCAGUCUCCACAAGUACUGAUCUAUGAGGUUUCCAACAGAUAUUCUGGGGUCUCAGAUAGAUUGACUGGCAGUGGGGCAAUCACAGAUUUCACAUUGAGAAUCAGCAGGGUGCAGGCUGAGGAUGUUGGAGUUUAUUACUGCUUGCAACGUACACAUGAGCCUCCCACAUUGGUGGAGGAAACAAGUUAA